UACUUUUGCACCUCGAUACAUAAUAAUCAUUAAAUAAUAUUUGCAUG
rnacentral:ncRNA from 1 species